AUUUUAUGUCCAUUCCAAUUAGACAUGUAUUUGAAAUGAGCAUGGUUAACAAAAAAGACUCAACUAUGAAACUGUAUUAAAGGGUCUCUGACAUCAUCAUCACAUCCUAAUCAUAGAGACCAAGGCUUCUACAAAUUAAUCUACAAGUGCUUUUAUUCUUGCAGACAAAAAAAUUGUUUAAUUCCAUUUGCUUUGUUGUUUAUUCUUUUAGCAUUGUUUGGCUAAUUGGUUCAUAUUUGUGACUGUGACCGAAUUUGAGCUGAAAAUUUUUCUACUCCAAUUUAUUUAACAAUAAGGAUGUUGCACCUAAAUAUUGCUUCUAUGAUAGGUGAUGCCCUGAAUUCUUUGAAGAACAGAUUGACAGAUCCUGCUGGUGUUCUUCAAAGCUGGGAUUCCACUCUUGUCAAUCCAUGUACAUGGUUUCAUGUUACUUGCAGCAAUGAUAAUAGUGUGAUCCGUGUAUUAGAGAGAUCCGCCAGAAAUAUGAUAUGGUGACCUACCUGUUGGAGUAUAUUUACUAUCCUGACCAAAGAGGAAUUGCAUAAUAAUCUAGUCAGACUAGAUAUGCUAUUUCAAAAGGCAGUGGAGUCUGGAAUUGAGAUACAGGGUGAAGUUUAACAGAUCGAAGUCUCUCAACAUCCUUCCCAAAAUUAGACAAAAGAUCAGAAUGUAUCCUGUGUUGCUGCAGAUAGAGUCAAGGGAAGAGAACUAAACUGGGAGAAGAGAUAUGACACUAUCAUUGGGACAGCUGAAGGAUUGGUUUACCUGCAUGAGAAUUCAAAAACUAGGAUAAUUCAAAGAGAUAUAAAAGCCAGCAACAUCUUAUUGGAUGCUAAACUUUGCGCCAAAAUUAUAUGUGGUAAUAAAUCUUGUUUCUUUUUAUUUUCUUAUGAUUAUGGAAUGUCAUAAAAUACUAAAGAAUUUUUCAUUGAGGUGCAGAAGUGUGGCAGCAUUCCAGUUAAGUCAUGGAGAGCAAUUAUUGCAUGUUUAAGUCAUGAAACAGUAUUUAUGCACAGAUACAAACUGUUUUCUUUUAUGUAAAAAUGAGAUUUGAAUGAGUUCUUGUAGGAAAGUAUUUCCCAAGACAAGAAGAGAAGUCAUGCUGGCUUUGUAUUUAAAAGACUCCUCAACACUCUUGUCUGUUUCAUUUGUUGUUUUCUCUUUUAUAUUUAGGUUAAUUCUGAUAGUGGUUAGCUAUAAGAGCAGAUUGCUUUAUACACCUUUAGUGUAUGCUACAGUACAAAUUUUACAGGCUAAUUCUGUUCGCAAGUGUCCUGAAUGUAAACAGCCACUACCCGAAAGCUAUUCGCCUCCGGCAGAUGAACCUUGGACGACUGGGAUCUUUGGAUGCACUGAAGAUAGGGAAAGUUGCUAGAGUGGAUCCAUGACCAUGAAUUCAUUGAGUACUGACUAUUUGGCAGAAACUGAGUUGCAUAGACAUUUGACAGCAUAACAUUUUCAUAUUGUACUGAUCAUGGUUAGUCCUUAUGCAUUCAAUUGACAUAAUUUUCAUUAGGAUGUUGAGUAAUGAGUUUUUUGUGCCAUAACAAAGUGAAUAACUUUCACUAUUGACAUUUUUUCAUGUA